CAGCUCAUCUUCUGAUGUUGAUUUGUAGAUAAAAGUGGGUUCAGGGGUGAGGGUCUUUGCAGAAGGCAAGGUGUCGAGGGCUGACUUUCAAUAGAUCGCAGCGAGGGAGCUGCUCUGCUACGUACGAAACCCCGACCCAGAAUCAGGUCGUCUACGAAUGAUUUAGCGCCGGGUUCCCCGCGAACGUGCGUUGCGCUAAGGGCGAGAGGCGGCCCCCUUCCGGCCGCGCUCCGCUCCCGAGACGGACGGCUCUCCGCACCGGGGCCCACCGAGGCUCCUCGGCGCUGCGGUAUCGUUCCCUUUAGGGGGGAUUCUGACUUAGAGGCGUUCAGUCAUAAUCCCACAGAUGGUAGCUUUGCCCCAUUGGCUCCUCAGCCAAGCACAUACACCAAAUGUCUGAACCUGCGGUUCCUCUCGUACUGAGCAGGAUUACUAGCACAACGACGCCUCAUCAGUAGGGUAAAACUAACCUGUCUCACGACGGUCUAAUUCCAGCUCACGUUCCCUAUUAGUGGGUUAACAAACCAACGCUUGGUGAAUUCUGCUUCACAAUGAUAGGAAGAGCCGACAGAAGGCAAGGUGCUGAUGUGCGUUCGUGUGCUGGGUGCUGUGUAUUGGGAAAGUUUCUUGU
rnacentral:lncRNA from 11 species